rnacentral:rRNA from 1 species
CCCUUAGAUGUUCUGGGCCGCACGCGCGCUACACUGCUGCAUUCAACGAGUCUAAAACCUGCUCUGAUAGGGGUGGGUAAUCUUUUGAAUGUGCAUCGUGAUUGGGAUAGAUGAUUGCAAUUUUUCAUCUUCAACGAGGAAUGCCUAGUAAACGCAAGUCAUCAGCUUGCAUUGAUUACGUCCCUGCCCUUUGUACACACCGCCCGUCGCUCCUACCGAUUGAAUGAUCCGAUGAAUAUCAUGGAUUGAGGAUGCAAGCAGGUUCGCCUGUCUUCAUCUUCGAGAAGUGAAGUAAAUCUUAUCAUUUAGAGGAAGGAGAAGUCGUAACA